rnacentral:rRNA from 1 species
AUACGGAGGGGGUUAGCGUUGUUCGGAAUUACUGGGCGUAAAGCGCACGUAGGCGGACUGGAAAGUUGGGGGUGAAAUCCCGGGGCUCAACCCUGGAACUGCCUCCAAAACUUCCAAUCUAGAGAUCGAGAGAGGUGAGUGGAAUUCCAAGUGUAGAGGUGAAAUUCGUAGAUAUUUGGAGGAACACCAGUGGCGAAGGCGGCUCACUGGCUCGAUACUGACGCUGAGGUACGAAAGCGUGGGGAGCAAACAGGAUUAGAAACCCUAGUAGUCC